CCAUGGAGGUGGAGAAGAGGCAGGAGGCCACCUUGGAUCUGGAAGAUACUUCUGGGGCUUGUGGGCAUCUCAGUUUGGCAAAGGGGGCUGACUGAGCCCAACCCCUUCAGAGGAGAGGAGGACUAAAGAGAUGCCAGUCCAGGAAGGGGACCUUCAGGAGCAUGGGCAGCAGGGCCCAGGGAGGAGUAAUAGAACAGAGGCCUACAGGUGAGUGGCUGCGGGAGGAGAUGGGGCCUUGACCUUUGGAGGCUGUAGCCUGCCAUUGCUGUGAAGAUGCAGACAGAAGCCAGGGAUCCCAUGCCCCAAGUCCA
rnacentral:lncRNA from 1 species